ensembl:snoRNA SNORD116 Small nucleolar RNA SNORD116
GGAUUGAUGAUGAUAUGCAUCCUUUGGACAUUUGAACAAAAUAAGUAAGGAAUCCUUACCAUCACCCUCAUUGAAACUGAUGUCU